AGGGCACACAGGGGCAGUGCAUCAGCAUGAGGGGAUAAAAGGCUGGGCUGAAGAACAAAAGGAGCAGGUGCUUGAGGCUUUCUGAAGUGAAAUGAUGUCACUCUGUAUGGGUGGACACCUGAAGCCUUCUGAUGAGUUCUGUUUGCAGUGUUACUUUCUGAAUACUGAGCCAACGACCAUCGCUCCAAGCACUCAGUCUCCCUGGUCCUAGAGUGGAAGGCAUUCUGUGGACUGACUGCACAGCCAUUGAGCUAAAGUGGAGACAGGACCAAAUCCAAGGGAAAAAAAAAAAGGCUAUAACCCAGCUCUCUACAGCAGUGCACUGAAAAGUGAUGUGUGAUGUGAAGCAAGGUGAGGGGAAUCAUGUUCACUUCACCACAGACACUAAAGUUUGCCAGCUUUCUUCUUUACCUGAGUAAUGACCACCAGGAGGGGCUUCACAGCAGCUUGUUUUGUUCCUAGAUCCAGAAAAAUAUGUGCAUUUGCCUACAAGGACAGUGUGCAUUUUAAGAAUAGGCCUCCAGGUCAGAGGUGUAUUAAUGAGAGAACGGCUGGAGGAUGAUGAGCUGAUCCUGCAGCCUCCAACAGCACUGAAUGGACUACAAGGGCUCUGUAGAAAAUAACUCCCAGCUAAUAACUGCACAAAUCAUCCUGCAGAGCCAGCUGUUACCAGGACUGCAAGCAUUCCUGUUGUUUGUUUUUGGAGGAGCCCUGUGUGCUUGUGUCAAAGCCCAGACCAUGUACAAAUUCCCCAGUGGUCACUGUGAAGACCACCAUGAUAUUUUAAAGGUUUCCAUGUCAGUGCAUGAGUUUUUAAAUAAUUUGAUAAUUUUCAUAACGUGCUUGGACUUGAUUCUCUAACCUGUAUUUCAGGAAGCAGUUCAUCAGUGUGGGUGACUCCAUGGUAGCCUCACCUGAAAACUUUCCAGGUUUCCUAAAUUCCACUGUCUUGCCCAUGUUUACUAUAAGUUCAUAGCAACUAUGUCCAUAUGCAGAAUGAUGAAAGGGUGAUUUAUUUUUUAUUAUCUGACUAGAAUAUUGCUGAAGAAGCAAAGAGGCUUGUGUAUUAUGAAAAGACAGAACAGAGAUGUCCGAGCAUGUGCAGUGAGGGGGGAUAAGAAAUGAAUUUUACAGCGCCCUUCAGAAAGUCUAUCAUAAGGAAAACUUGUGUUUGAAACCUUCUCUUCCUCAGUGGGAAAAUAAUAUAUAUGUGAAAAUCAUGGGUUUUCUUGGCUUCUAGUAUCACCAGAGUUUUCUUGGAAGUAAAGGAACAGUCCUGCUUUCAUUAAUUCCAAAAAAGCUUUGCAUUCAAGCUAUUCACCUGGAGUGAAGGGCUACCUAAUUCAGUCUGCACACAUGGAUUAUGCAUCCUACAUGAAAGUCUUUGAUCCAUGAGAAAACCAACAUUUGUUGAUCUGUUUUGCACUGUAUCUUGCAAUGAAUGCUUUUGCAUAUAUGUAUUUUAUUGUAUCUGAUGUCUA